ensembl:lncRNA
CUGGUUUUGAGAGGUUGGCCAGCGUUACAAAGUGUUCCUUCAGAAAGGCUUCCUGGUCUGGAGUCUGGGGAACCAGUUGAGAGGUCAUGACAUCUGGUCCUCCUCCUGCUGCGCCUCCUCCGUCCUCGUCCUCCUCCAGCUCAGAGGAGUUUCCAUCCACACUGAGAGGCUCUGAGUCUACGAGGACGGAGACAGGUUAGGGGUGAGAGACAGACAAGAGAGGUCUGUCUGCCUCGCUUCAUCUGUCUGUCUCACCGUUUCCUGCAGGUUUGUCUCUCUGUAUCUGUCCAUGUCCUGCAGGUUUGUCUCUCUGUAUCUGUCUAUGUCCUGCAGGUUUGUCUCUCUGUAUCUGUCUAUGUCCUGCAGGUUUGUCUCUCUGUAUCUGUCCAUGUCCUGCAGGUUUGUCUCUCUGUAUCUGUCUAUGUCCUGCAGUUUUGUCUCUCUGUAUCUGUCUUUGUCUCUCUGUAUCUGUCCAUGUCCUGCAGGUUUGUCUCUCUGUAUCUGUCUAUGUCCUGCAGGUGUGUCUCUCCGUAUCUGUCUAUGUCCUGCAGGUUUGUCUCUCUGUAUCUGUCUUUGUCUCUCUGUAUCUGUCCAUGUCCUGCAGGUUUGUCUCUCUGUAUCUGUCUAUGUCCUGCAGGUGUGUCUCUCCGUAUCUGUCUAUGUCCUGCAGUUUUGUCUCUCUGUAUCUGUCUUUGUCUCUCUGUAUCUGUCCAUGUCCUGCAGGUUUGUCUCUCUGUAUCUGUCUAUGUCCUGCAGCUGUGUCUCUCCUUAUCUGUCUGUCUCCCGGUGUCGGUCUCACCAUCUCCUGCAGGUCUCACUGGACUGGACAGCCUGGAGCUGAAUCCCAGUGAGCAGCCGCUGUCUGGACUGGGUUUGUCCUGAUGUUUGUCUGCAGCAGUAGGACACGCCUCCUUCACCUGGAACUCACUGACAGGAAGGGGCAGCGUUUAGAGGGGCGGCGUUCCAACAUCCUACAAGCAGAAUUUAUUCACCUGGGACAAACUACUUCCUAAAAUGGGACAUUGAACUCUGACCCUGUUUAUCAUAUUCAAUUAAUUGUCCUUAAAUCCUUUUGUAAGGAGACGGUGUAAAUAUAAACGACCUGAUGACCUGCUUGUGUUUCAAUCUCUUCUCUCCUCUUUUUCUGCUUCUGUCUCUGCUGCCAAAAGCUCUUUCUACCGAUCCAGAAUCCAAUCUUCAUUUUCUAACCCAAAAAAACUAUUUUCGAUAUUCUCCAACCUCCUCCAACCCCCUAGUCCUCCUCCCCCCUUCUUCUGGGUGACUGUCACUACUUUACCAAGAAAAUAGCUGACAUACGCUCCUCUUUCUCAAACCCACCUCCUAUUUCUUGCUUCCCACUGGCUUCACCUCUAUCGCCCUCACUUUCCUCUUUCACCCCCCUGUCUCCUAACCAAGUUCUUACCCUAGUAACCUCUGACCCUCCGACCACCUGCCCUCUUGACCCCAUUCCAUCACAUCUUCAACGGACGCACCUAUCGGGUAACCUGGAGAGGAUCUGUGUUGAACCUUGUCCUCUUACUACUGGAGUUCCUCAGGGUUCCGUCCUGGGUCCCCUCCUCUUCUCUCUCUACACCAACUCUCUCAUUCGCUCACUUGGCUUCUCCUACCACAGCGAUGCUGAUGACACCCAACUAAUUCUCUCCUUCCCUCACUCGGAUCUCUGCCUGUCUGACUGACAUCUCUCAGUGGAUCCGCCCACCAUCUGAAAAUCAACCCCGACAAGAUGGAACUACUUCUCUUUCCAGGAAAAGAUUCUCCUUCACAGGACCUGACUGUUAACUUUGGCGACUCCGUGUUAACGUCCACUUUGACUGCAGGAACCUCGGCGUGACGUCGACAGCCGACUCUCCCUGACUCCAACAUCACUGACAACACCCUGUAGAUACUCGCUCUACAACAUGAGGAGAACACGUCCUCUUCUCACUCAGAAGGUACUGAUUCAGGCUCUUGUCGUCUCCCUCCUGGACCACUGUAACUCUCUCCUGCAGGUCUCCUGCUACCUCCAUUCCACCUCUGCAGCUCAUCCAGAAUGCAGCAGCUCCACUGGUCUUUAACCUUCCUAAGUUCUCCCUCACUCCUCCACUCCUCCGCUC